rnacentral:rRNA from 1 species
UACAGAGGGUGCAAGCGUUGUUCGGAAUUACUGGGCGUAAAGCGCGCGUAGGCGGCUUGUCAAGUCAGGGGUGAAAUCCCACAGCUUAACUGUGGAACUGCCCUUGAAACUGUCAAGCUAGAGUGUCGGAGGGGAUAGCGGAAUUGCUAAUGUAGAGGUGAAAUUCGUAGAUAUUAGCAGGAACACCGGUGGCGAAGGCGGCUAUCUGGACGACAACUGACGCUGAGGCGCGAAAGCGUGGGGAUCAAACAGG